GCCCCUCUGUAGUUCCCGAGCAGGAUGAUUGGGUGUUCAUGUGCAUGUGUGGGAUGUGCCACCCUCUCAACCUUGUUACGAUGUUGGCACAUUACCCUGGACCUGACC
ensembl:snoRNA